rnacentral:rRNA from 1 species
GACGAACCGAGCGAACGUUGCUCGGAAUCACUGGGCUUAAAGGGCGCGUAGGCGGAUUCUCAAGUCCGGGGUGAAAUCCCACAGCUCAACUGUGGAACUGCCUCGGAUACUGGGAGUCUCGAGGGUGGCAGGGGUAUGCGGAACUAUCGGUGGAGCGGUGAAAUGCGUUGAUAUCGAUAGGAACUCCGGUGGCGAAGGCGGCAUACUGGUCCACUUCUGACGCUGAGGCGCGAAAGCCAGGGGAGCGAACGGG